AAGCGGCUCCAGGCCAGACAAGGUGGCUGGCUGACAGCACAGUGCCCAAGGGAGGGGAGGAUCUGCUGGGAAUAGGCAUGCAGUCCAAUUAGUUAGUGUUAGAGGCAGCCUCUCUCCUCCUUCUCCCCCCUUCUCCCUUCCCCUCUGUGGCACGUUUUAUUAUUGCUAGCCGCGCACCCGUUCUGGAGCUCCCUACUGCUGCCGGCUCAGAUUAAUGAGCUGCCCUGCCAGUGGCCGCCUGAACGGAGCAGCAUGCUUGUAUUAUUGCUAGCCAGCCCCCCACAUGCUAUGUUGCUGGCACUCCCUCCCGCUGCAGGGCGGCUCAGCUCAGAUGGGCAGCACAAACGAAGAGACGCUGGUGGCUACCCCUGCCCCACAAACCACCACCAGAGCCGGUCCUGCCAAUCAAAGACCACAGCCCCACCUCCCACCGUGACCACAGCUUGCUGGGGUGUAUGCCCCUUAGAGAAAAUUGGAAGCUGCAAUAGAGUAUACUUGCAGCAUCAAUGAUGUGAAACUAAGAGGAUCUGCACUCCACACACUAUCAAAAUCCCUUCCGGCUUGCGGUCCAUAACUAGGAAGUGACGUAUCGCGGGGGACUACAGUCGCGUUCACUCUGUUUUGGAGAAGAUCGGUCCGUUACCAGGAAGGGCCGCGUUGUUUGCGGUCCGUAACCAGGAAGUGACGUAUCGCUGCAGUCCGGAGCCGGGUCUAUAGAAUGAGAAUGACGUAUCAGGAGUGGUCGAGUGGAAAGCUGAUAAGAACUGUAUAUGGAGUGGUGGACGUGCGGUUGCUAUGACAACCUAAUAACCAAUCACAAAACAGUGUGAUGAUAAGAAUUAUGGGUAUGGAGGAAAUUUUAAGUUGUGGAGAGUAGAGUAGGAUGGAAUGGGUUCAUUUAUAAUGAAGUUAAUAGAAGUAUUGAUGUUCCCUCUGAUACGUAUCAACUUUUAGAUAUAACCAAUUUAGAAAAUUAAAUGAAUAAAACUAUAGAUAUACUGUUUGUUUUAUGAAUUUAUGUAUAAAUGGAGAUUAAUUGUAAUGUCUGUUAAUGAAUAUAAGUAUAAAGAAUUAUAUUUAUUAGGAAUUAAGGUUGUUUAGGAGGAGAAAUUAUAUGAUUGGUGGAUGGAAUCAGGUGACCAAGGUUAUAGGGUAUAUAAACCCCAGUUGUUUUGUUUGACUUUAUACCCUGAGGAAGGAAAGGAUUCCGAAACGCGUUGGUGUUCUGGAGAAUCCCUGAUAGCUGUGGUCCAUUCGUGUUUAACCCUAUUGGUUUUUGACGUUUUUUGAUGACAUCUUGGAGGAACACUGUAUCAUAGACCUUUCCCGGGAAUGGUAUGGUGAGGAGUGUCUCCUCUUAAAGAAAUUCUUCCAUAACCUUUGGGGUUUAGAGUGGAACAAAACAACUUUCAGCUAGAUCAGGAAGAGAUACAGCAUUUAUGUUUUUAUAUGGACUGUUUUUUAUGAAGAAAUAAACUGUUUUUAUGAA